rnacentral:ncRNA from 1 species
AAAUAAACUUAUGGGAGCAAUAUGCUGAGAGGAGUUAAGACUCGACCAUUUUACUUGUUAGGAUAAUGCCUUGGCAAGGAAAAGUAUUAUUACUCCUA